rnacentral:lncRNA from 1 species
GUCGUGCUGCUAGGCCGGGUCAUGGAUCAAUCUGAUCCAUUUGCAUCCUUAGUUCCAGCCCCAAGGGCCAUAUCAGGUAACCAAAAACUAACUACCGGUCUCAGCCCGCCAGAAACCAAUUCGAUUCCAUUGCUUGGCGGCUGGCAUUCCGCUGCUAGGCUUCUAUGCCGGCUGCCGGCCUCAUGGUGGAGCGGACUCACA